AGCGUAGAAUUCUGACUAUUCCCUUUUGAGCUUAGAGUAUGUAAAUCUUAUGUUUGGGAAAGCUGUGGGAAGUAUAUGCCUUUCUUAGAAAAAAAAAAGAAAAAAAAUAUAUAUAAAUAUUGCAAAUAAAGUAUCAAGUACUCCUUUGAGAUCAGCGGGUGGCAAAUUAUGAAAGGGACGAUCCAUGUACAUGUGCUGGUAUUAAGCGCGAUUGUACUAGAAAUAAAUCUUUCUUGGUGACUUUUCACUACCCUUGGUUACUGG
rnacentral:lncRNA from 1 species